GCAGUAGGGAAUCUUCCGCAAUGGACGCAAGUCUGACGGAGCAACGCCGCGUGAGUGAAGAAGGUUUUCGGAUCGUAAAACUCUGUUGUCGGAGAAGAACAAGUGGGCGAGUAACUGCGCCCGCCUUGACGGUAUCCGACCAGAAAGCCACGGCUAACUACGUGCCAGCAGCCGCGGUAAUACGUAGGUGGCAAGCGUUGUCCGGAUUUAUUGGGCGUAAAGCGAGCGCAGGCGGUCCCUUAAGUCUGAUGUGAAAGCCCACGGCUCAACCGUGGAGGGUCAUUGGAAACUGGGGGGCUUGAGUGCAGGAGAGGAGAGUGGAAUUCCAUGUGUAGCGGUGAAAUGCGUAGAUAUAUGGAGGAACACCAGUGGCGAAGGCGACUCUCUGGCCUGUAACUGACGCUGAGGCUCGAAAGCGUGGGGAGCG
rnacentral:rRNA from 1 species